GACGAACGCUGGCGGCGUGCUUAACACAUGCAAGUCGAACGGAAAGGCCCUGCUUUUGUGGGGUGCUCGAGUGGCGAACGGGUGAGUAACACGUGAGUAACCUGCCCUUGACUUUGGGAUAACUUCAGGAAACUGGGGCUAAUACCGGAUAGGAGCCCCUGCUGCAUGGUGGGGGUUGGAAAGUUUCGGCGGUUGGGGAUGGACUCGCGGCUUAUCAGCUUGUUGGUGGGGUAGUGGCUUACCAAGGCUUUGACGGGUAGCCGGCCUGAGAGGGUGAACGGCCACAUGGGGCCUGAGAUACGGCCCAGACUCCAACGGGAGGCAGCAGUGGGGAAUAUUGCACAAUGGGCGGAAGCCUGAUGCAGCAGCGCCGCGUGCGGGAUGACGGCCUUCGGGUUGUAAACCGCUUUCGCCUGUGACGAAGCGUGAGUGACGGUAAUGGGUAAAGAAGCACCGGCUAACUACGUG
rnacentral:rRNA from 1 species